AUUGAACGCUGGCGGCAGGCCUAACACAUGCAAGUCGAGCGGAUGAAGGGAGCUUGCUCCUGGAUUCAGCGGCGGACGGGUGAGUAAUGCCUAGGAAUCUGCCUGGUAGUGGGGGAUAACGUCCGGAAACGGGCGCUAAUACCGCAUACGUCCUGAGGGAGAAAGUGGGGGAUCUUCGGACUUCACGCUAUCAGAUGAGCCUAGGUCGGAUUAGCUAGUUGGUGGGGUAAAGGCCUAACAAGGCGACGAUCCGUAACUGGUCUGAGAGGAUGAUCAGUCACCUUGGAAGUGAGACACGGUCCAGACUCCUACGGGGGGCAGCAGUGGGGAAUAUUGGACGAUGGGCGAAAGCCUGAUCCAGCCGUGCCGCGUGUGUGAAGAAGGUCUUCGGAUUGUAAAGCACUUUAAGUUGGGAGGAAGGGCAGUAAGUUAAUACCUUGCUGUGUUGACGUUACCAGCAGAAUAAGCACCGGCUAACUUCGUG
rnacentral:rRNA from 1 species